rnacentral:rRNA from 1 species
UGGCGCACGGGUGAGUAACGCGUGGGUAUCUACCUCGGGGUGGGGAAUAACCGCUGGAAACGGCGGCUAAUACCGCAUACGCCUUCAGAGGGAAAGCUCCGGCGCCCUGAGAGGAGCCCGCGUUGGAUUAGCUUGUUGGUGGGGUAAUGGCCUACCAAGGCUACGAUCUAUAGCUGGUCUGAGAGGAUGAUCAGCCACACUGGGACUGAGACACGGCCCAGACUUCUACGGGAGGCAGCAGUGGGGAAUAUUGGACAAUGGGCGCAAGCCUGAUCCAGCCAUGCCGCGUGAGUGAAGAAGGCCUUAGGGUUGUAAAGCUCUUUCACCUGCGAAGAUGAUGACGGUAGCAGGAGAAGAAGCCCCGGCUAACUCCGUGCCAGCAGCCGCGGUAAU